rfam:Aedes albopictus isolate Foshan contig91609, whole genome shotgun sequence.
UAGCCUAGUGGUUAAAGGCUAUGGAUCGACAAUCCGGAGACGGCGGGUUCGAUUCCUGU